GAUGAAGAACGUAGCGAAAUGCGAUAAGUAAUGUGAAUUGCAGAAUUCAGUGAAUCAUCGAAUCUUUGAACGCACAUUGCGCCCGUCAGUAUUCUGGCGGGCAUGCCUGUUCGAGCGUCAUUACGCCCCUCAAGUCCCCUGUGGACUUGGUGUUGGGGAUCGGCGAGGCUGGUUUUCCAGCACAGCCGUCCCUUAAAUUAAUUGGCGGUCUCGCCGUGGCCCUCCUCUGCGCAGUAGUAAAACACUCGCAACAGGAGCCCGGCGCGGUCCACUGGCGUAAAACCCCCCAACUUUUUAUAGUUGACCUCGAAUCAGGUAGGACUACCCGCUGAACUUAAGCAUAUCAAUAAGCGGAGGA
rnacentral:misc_RNA from 1 species